AAGGUUCCAUUUCAGGAUACUCAUUCACCAUUGUUCACGAGAUUGACAGGCAUUUGGGUUCUGGGAUGCCAUUUGAGAGGAUUUUGUCAUAGAUAUUCAGGGGUCAUAAGUCAUGAUUCAGCAAGGUCUUCUGGCGUACAUAGAUGUUCAUAGGAUCGUCAGGGUAUGAGAGCGUUUGUUCAAGUCAAGUGAGC